rnacentral:rRNA from 1 species
ACUCCUACGGGAGGUAGCAGUGGGGAAUAUUGCACAAUGGGGGAAACCCUGAUGCAGCCAUGCCGCGUGUGUGAAGAAGGCCUUCGGGUUGUAAAAGCACUUUCAGUAGGGAGGAAGGUAGUGUAGUUAACACCUGCCACUAUUUGACGUUACCUACAGAAGAAGCACCGGCUGAACUCCGUGCCAGCAGCCGCGGUAAUACGGAGGGUGCGAGCGUUAAUCGGAAUUACUGGGCGUAAAGCGCAUGCAGGCGGCCUGUUAAGUCAGAUGUGAAAGCCCGGGGCUUAACCUCGGAAUUGCAUUUGAAACUGGCAGGCUAGAGUCUUGUAGAGGGGGUAGAAUUUCAGGUGUAGCGGUGAAAUGCGUAGAGAU